AGCAGCCGCGGUAAUUCCAGCUCCAAUAGCGUAUAUUAAAGUUGUUGCAGUUAAAAAGCUCGUAGUUGAAUUUCGGGAUCAAAUUGUUGGUCGUGCCUCGGUACGCACUGGUAUUAUUGGUUCCUACCUUCUGAAGAACCGCGAUGUCAUUAAUUUGGUGUCGUGGGGAAUCAGGACUGUUACUUUGAAAAAAUUAGAGUAGUUUAAAGCAGGCUUACGCUUGAAUACAUUAGCAUGGAAUAAUGAAAUAGGACGUUUGAUUCUAUUUUGUUGGUUUCUAGGAUUGACGUAAUGAUUAAUAGGGAUAGUUGGGGGCAUUAGUAUUCAAUUGUCAGAGGUGAAAUUCUUGGAUUUAUUGAAGACUAACUACUGCGAAAGCAUUUGCCAAGGAUGUUUUCAUUAAUCAAGAACGAAAGUUAGGGGAUCGAAGACGAUCAGAUACCG
rnacentral:rRNA from 1 species